CCUACGGGACGCAGCAGUGAGGAAUAUUGGUCAAUGGCCGGAAGGCUGAACCAGCCAAGCCGCGUGAAGGACGAAGGUGCCAAGCAUUGUAAACUUCUUUUGUCAAGGGACAAAGUCAGGCUCGAGAGCCUGACCGAGGGAACUUGAAGAAAAAGCAUCGGCUAACUCCGUGCCAGCAGCCGCGGUAAUACGGAGGAUGCGAGCGUUAUCCGGAUUUAUUGGGUUUAAAGGGUGCGUAGGCGGACUGUUAAGUCAGCGGUAAAAGCCCGGGGCUCAACCCCGCCGAGCCGUAAAACAGG
rnacentral:rRNA from 1 species